rnacentral:rRNA from 1 species
GUGCAAGCGUUAUCCGGAUUUACUGGGUUUAAAGGGUGUGUAGGCGGACUUUUAAGUCAGCGGUGAAAUCUCCGGGCUCAACCCGGAAACUGCCAUUGAUACUAUUGGUCUUGAAUAUUGUUGAGGUGGGCGGAACGGGUCAUGUAGCGGUGAAAUGCAUAGAUAUGACCCGGAACACCGAUUGCGAAGGCAGCCCACUAAGCAAUGAUUGACGCUGAGGCACGAAAGCGUGGGGAUCAAACAGG